rnacentral:rRNA from 1 species
GACGGAAGGUGCAAGCGUUGCUCGGAAUCACUGGGCGUAAAGGGUGCGUAGGCGGCCGUGCAAGUCUGGCGUGAAAGCCCCGGGCUCAGCCCGGGAAGUGCGCUCGAAACUGCACGGCUCGAGUGCCGGAGGGGAGAGUGGAAUUCCUGGUGUAGCGGUGAAAUGCGUAGAUAUCAGGAGGAAUACCGAUGGCGAAGGCAGGUCUCUGGGCUGACACUGACGCUCAUGCACGAAAGCGUGGGGAGCAAACAGG